AGAACAAUCUAAGAAAAGUAGUAAAUUUAACAGGGCAUACCUCACUGAAGCCAAGCUAGCUUUGAAGUCUCUCUAAAUGACUGUAGACAAAACAAACAACACAGUCAACUAUUACUCAACUGGUCUCAUAGGAUUUCAGUUGGUUUCCCACCCAAUGACUCUAUUUAGUAGGGUGACUUUCAGCCAACUUCUCCAUUCAAAGUGUUUCAUAUUAUUCUCCUCUCUAUGGUGCACCAAUUGUGAACUGGAAAUGUUUAACAACUGCCUCUCAAAAAAAGGAUUUAAAAUUCUGGACUUCUAUGAAGCAUAUGUGGAUACCUGAUGCUGAUUUUUGAACUGUGUCCAAAACGGUGAAGUGAAUAUGGUUUGAUUGAUUGCAUUGUAUGACAUGGAAAGAGUAUGACCAAAGCCACCCCCUCCCCCAUUUGACAAGCAGAUAAAUAAGACUACUGAUUUUGUAAGAGCAGAAAAUCAGUGUCACUGGAUAUAAUAAUGACAGUAUUGGUUCAUCACAUCA